UACGUAGGGUACAAGCGUUGUCCGGAAUUAUUGGGCGUAAAGAGCUCGUAGGCGGUCUGUCGCGUCUGCUGUGAAAACUCGGGGCUUAACCCCGGGCCUGCAGUGGGUACGGGCAGACUAGAGUGCGGUAGGGGAGACUGGAAUUCCUGGUGUAGCGGUGAAAUGCGCAGAUAUCAGGAGGAACACCGGUGGCGAAGGCGGGUCUCUGGGCCGUAACUGACGCUGAGGAGCGAAAGCAUGGGGAGCGAACAGG
rnacentral:rRNA from 1 species